GGGAAGGGCUCCUCAUAGAGGCAGCAGUAGAGAAUCCUUGUGCAAUGCACGAAAGUAUGACACAGAGAGGACACAUUUAAUUGAGCCUGUCAAAAUUAAGUGCCAGCCGACGCGGUUAGACUUAAGGGCUGGUCUUUAUAAGUAAAAAGGCGUAAAGGAUGUGUAGGCCAAGAAAUUAUCCAAGAAGGUAAAUGGAAUUUUUCUGGAGCGGUAGAAUGUGAGGAUAGAAAAUAGAACACCUAAGGUUAAAACUAUUUACCACAAGAUAGGCUGAAACAUGAAAGUGUGGGGAGCAAACAGGAUUAGAGACCCUGGUAGUCCACUCUGUGAACUUUGAAGAUGAUGCUUAGCAGACCCGAAAGGUAAAAUCUUCCGCCUGAGUAGUACGAUCGCAAGAUUAAAAUUCAAAAACUUUGGCUGUUCACUAUUUCGAUUAGAGGAGCGUGUAGUUUAAUUCGAUGGUCCGCGUGUUACCUUACCCCAGCUUGAAUCUGUGACCGGUAUUGCAUGGCCGUCGUAAGUCCGUGUGUUAAAUUAGAAGGGACUCAACCCGGGCCCCCGCCCGGAGGAAGUCAGGUCUUAUGAUCCGAAUGCUGGGGGAUUUUAUGCGCUACAUUUUCUUAUAUAAUGAGAGACUUGAAAGGUAAGCCUCUAAAGUAAGAGUUCGGAAGGUCGCUGUAAAACGACUGGAAGUUGGAUUUAAUAGUAAUCGGAAAGUAGGGCGUUCCGGUGAAUUGGUACAAGUGUUAGCACAAAUUGCCCGUCACCUUUACCUAGAAGGUUAUUCGGACGCUUACGGGGCCUCACCACACGAGCACUAGGCAA
rnacentral:rRNA from 1 species